AUGUCACCCUGACACCACUCCUUCUUUGCUUUUAGUAACAGUUACUUAUUUCCAUCAAACAUAGCAAGGAAAAUGAGAAUAAUUAUUUCACUCUGGUUUUGUGCCAUGUUGGUGAUCACAACAAUGACUGAAGCUCAUCCCAUGAGUGACAGUCAGCGCUGCAUCUGCAUAAAAGGGGUGAUCCCUUUCAUCAGGCCCAGGAACAUCCUCGAUUACCAGGUGUAUCCAGCGACCCCAUCAUGUGACAGAGUUGAGAUUGUCGUGCUGCUGCAUAAACCAAGGCGUACCGUGUGCCUGGACCCCGACUCUUCAAUUGGACAGCGGCUCCGAUUCGCAAAAUUGAAUUAAGAAAUAUAUUCCCAUCAUUUUAUUUUGUUUCGCUAAUUUCUUUUGCAUAGUAUGUAUUUUGCAAAUCAAUUAAGUGUAAUGCUAAUUGUAAGGGUCAUUUUCGUAAUUGCUUCUUAAUUGCUUCUUAAUUGACAAUGUGUGUUAACAUAAAGACAAUCACAUGAUUACAAAUAACCUUUUAGUGUUUCCUUAUUAUCCUUAUUACUAUUAAACCACUUUCUGAAUUAAGUGCUUACUAGGAGUCUUUCUCUGUCUCUCUCCCAGCAGACAGACAGCCUUUGACCUUAAUGUCUCUGCUUCUCCUGGAAGGGGGUAGCUAGCACACUCCGGUCAAGGUCAACAAGGGGUAUUCAGAAGUUAUUUCUUUGCAAAUAAAUAUAAAUAAUAAUAAAUAUAAUCUCAAGUAUAGCUAUCGUUGUUUUUACUGGGAUCUGUUUCAUCAGACAAUGCUCACCUGUGAAAUGUUAAAAAGGGCAUUUGUCCCUUACGCUAAUAUUCAAAGGGAAAAAAAAUAUUUUAAUCAAUUAAUUGUGUUUUGAUAAUUUCUUUUGCAUAUGCAUUUUCCAAACGUAUAAAGUGUAAUGCUAAUAUUAAAAAAUGCUACAAUAAAAUAAUAAUAAAAAUGUACAAGCUCCUGUG